CUGUCGCUCGGCGCCGUCACCCUGAGGCUGUUCUUCUCCACCACGAACCCCCCGUGGCAAGCAGUGCACAGCAGCGCCGCCGACACCAGCAAUAAGCACAGCAUCGCGCGGGGGAUCGAAGCCCCAUGCUCCAAUCCACGAGUAGACCUAUGUGAUGAGGAAUGGUUGAUUUUUGUUGGUUAUUAGUGUUGGGAGAUAUGAUUUAUUAUGCGAUGAUGAAUGGUUGAUUUUGAUUUUUGAUGGUUAUUGUUGUUGGGAGAUAUAUUAUGUGAUGUAUUUGUUAGUUGAGAUGAAGUUGAUAUUUGUUAUAUGAUUUAUUAAUGAUGAUGAAUGUCUGGGAUUUUGUUUUAGUGCUUGCAAAUCAGUUCAAUGCAUACUGCUGCCUGAGAUUACAUUUUUUGCUGGGUGCUGCUGUCCUGGACAGACCGGACAGAGGAG
rnacentral:lncRNA from 1 species